rnacentral:lncRNA from 1 species
ACUUACAAAUGUUUAUUUAAUGAAUGACUAGAGAAAAGAUAGCUACCAUCAAGUCAGCCUGAGGAGUAACUUCAUUGCAACUGCCUAUUCACAUAUCAGUAACUUGCAUGUGGAUCACCCCAUCUAAAAUAAUCUAGACUGGGGCUGUGAGAGAUCUCACCCCUACAAGUACCACAGCAGCUAGCAAUGACAGCAAUUGGAAGACCAGGAAAACAGCAAAGCUCAUGUAAUCCACCCGCCGAAAUGUCUGAAGUAAACAAGCUCUGUCUCAAGAAGGAAAUCUGACUUUGGAAGCAUGAUGCUCACACGACCUUUAAUGCUACAGACCCAUGAAGAGCGAAAAGACAGGACCCGAGGGAGCCUGCCUCUCUUCUCUAGGGUGUCUCCCGGGUCCUGAAUUGGUCCGCCCAUCUCUGGAAAAGAGAAAUGACCUAAAGGGCACAAUGGGGAUGAGAUGUGGUUUUCUAGGUUCAAGUAACAGUUUCAGCCUUAAGACUGAAACUUUAAGGGCUGGCAAGAUGGCUCAGUGGAUGAGGGUGCUUGCCACCAAGCCUGGCAACCUGAGUUCAAUCCCCAGGACCCACAUGGUGGAAGGAGAGAACGGACUCCUCUGACCUCCACAUACAUACCAUAGCAAGCUCUCCAUCACAUACACACACACAGACACACACACGCACAGCACACACAGCACACAUGCACACACACAGAUAAAUAAGUGUAAUAAAAAUUCCUAUAUAUUAACAGAGAGUCUAAGGAAGCCAGAAAUAAAUUCUACUUCCUUCACUAAUAAUAUAAGAGACCAAAAGCUUGUCCAAAAACAGACCAAAACCAGAACUGUUCUUGAGACAUUAUUCCAUAUAUCCUAGGUCAGUCUUGAACUUGUUUUGUAUGACCUUGAACCUCUAAGUCUCCUGUCUCUACUUCCUAAGCAUUAGGGUCAAAGGCAUGUGCCCUGUGCCCACUUUAACUCCUGCUGGAGACUGGACCCAAGGUUCCAUGCAUGCUAGGUGAACCCUUCAUCUACUCAGUUCUGUCCCCAGCCUAAUUAAAUAUUCUGAAAAGAAAAGUCCAGUUUUAAAGCUGAAACAAGUCUGAAUAGAGUUCAGAAAUCGUACUCUCAAGGGCCUUCAGAGUGAUCCCCAAGGGCUUCCCCGGUGACACAUGGCCAUCUAAGAGAUGGGAGGUACAACUUUCGGUUGCUUACAGGAUUUUCAAAACCUGCAGGUAGGAAGACAAGUUUAGACAGGCAUCCUUCUCCAUCUUUUUUAAAAACUAAAGUAAAAAUCUUACUUUUAAUAAUAAUAAUAAUAAUAAAUCC